rnacentral:rRNA from 1 species
GACGAACGCUGGCGGCGUGCCUAAUACAUGCAAGUCGAACGGAAAGACCCUGCUCUUGCGGGGUUCUCGUGAGGCGCACGCGUGAGAAACACGUGUGUAUAACGCCCCUGUCUUUGGGAUAACACUAGGAGACAGCGGCUAUUAUCGCAUAGAAGCUAUUGCACCACGGUGGGGGAUGGAAAGUUUCGGCGUUUGGUGAUGGUUUCGCGGCUUAUGAGCUUGUUGGUGGGGUAGUUGCUUACGAAGGUUUUGACGGGUAGCCGGCCUGAGAGGUUGACCAGCCACAAUGGUACUGCGAGAGGCCCCAGAUGCCUAUGGGACGCAGAGGUGGGGAAUAUUGCACAAUGGGCGGAAGCCUGAGGCGACAGCGCCGCGUGCGGAAUGACGGGUUUCGGGUUGUAAACCGCUGUGGACGGUAACGAGGCGUGAUUGACGGUAAUGGGUAAAAAAGCACCGGCUAACUACGUG